rnacentral:rRNA from 1 species
CACUGCCCGUCAAGCCAUGGAAGCUGUUUCUACCUGAAUAGGCUGAGCUAACCGCAAGGAGGCAGGCCUACACGGUAGGAGGAGUGACUGGGGUU